GGGUCGAUGGCGUAGCUGGUUAUCGCAUCUGUCUAACAUGACAUAAACUGUAUAUGUUCACAGAAGGUCCUCAGUUCGAACCUGGGUCGACUCA